UACGUCGUGUGCGAGCGUUAAUCGGAAUUACUGGGCGUAAAGCGUGCGCAGGCGGUUAUAUAAGACAGAUGUGAAAUCCCCGGGCUCAACCUGGGCACUGCAUUUGUGACUGUAUAGCUAGAGUACGGUAGAGGGGGAUGGAAUUCCGCGUGUAGCAGUGAAAUGCGUAGAUAUGCGGAGGAACACCGAUGGCGAAGGCAAUCCCCUGGACCUGUACUGACGCUCAUGCACGAAAGCGGGGGGAGCAAACAGGAGGAGAUAACCGGGUAGUCC
rnacentral:rRNA from 1 species